AUUGAACGCUGGCGGCAGGCCUAACACAUGCAAGUCGAACGAGUGGCGGACGGGUGAGUAAUGUCUGGGAAACUGCCUGAUGGCGGGGGAUAACUACUGGAAACGGUAGCUAAUACCGCAUACCAUCGGAUGUGCCCAGAUGGGAUUAGCUAGUAGGUGGGGUAACGGCUCACCUAGGCGACGAUCCCUAGCUGGUCUGAGAGGAUGACCAGCCACACUGGAACGGAGACACGGUCCAUACGCCUACGGGAGUCAGAAGGGGGGAAGAUUGCAAAAGGGGGGCAAGCCUGAUGCAGCCAUGCCGCGGGUAUGAAGAAGGCCUUAGGGUUGUAAAGUACUUUCAGCGGGGAGGCGUUACCCGCAGAAGAAGCAUCGGCUAACUCCGUGCCAGCAGCCGCGGUAAUAC
rnacentral:rRNA from 1 species